rnacentral:rRNA from 1 species
UAGGGAAUCUUCGGCAAUGGACGAAAGUCUGACCGAGCAACGCCGCGUGAGUGAAGAAGGUUUUCGGAUCGUAAAACUCUGUUGUUAGAGAAGAACAAGGACGUUAGUAACUGAACGUCCCCUGACGGUAUCUAACCAGAAAGCCACGGCUAACUACGUGCCAGCAGCCGCGGUAAUACGUAGGUGGCAAGCGUUGUCCGGAUUUAUUGGGCGUAAAGCGAGCGCAGGCGGUUUCUUAAGUCUGAUGUGAAAGCCCCCGGCUCAACCGGGGAGGGUCAUUGGAAGCUGGGGGACUUGAGUGCAGAAGAGGAGAGUGGAAUUCCAUGUGUAGCGGUGAAAUGCGUAGAUAUAUGGAGGAACACCAGUGGCGAAGGCGGCACUCUGGUCUGUAACUGACGCUGAGGCUCGAAAGCGUGGGGAGCAAACAGG